rnacentral:rRNA from 1 species
AUUGAACGCUGGCGGCAGGCCUAACACAUGCAAGUCGAGCGGAGCGGCGGACGGGUGAGUAAUGCCUAUGAAUCUGCCUGGUAGUGGGGGAUAACGUCCGGAAACGGGCGCUAAUACCGCAUACUAUCAGAUGAGCCUAGGUCGGAUUAGCUAGUUGGUGGGGUAAAGGCCUACCAAGGCGACGAGCCGUAACUGGUCUGAGAGGAUGAUCAGUCACACUGGAACUGAGAAACGGUCCAGACUCCUAGGGGAGGCAGCAGGGGGGAAUAUUGGACAAGUGGCGAAAGCCUGAUCCAGCCAUGCAGCGUGUGUGAAGAAGGUCUUCGGAUUGUAAAGCACUUUAAGAUGGGAGGCGUUACCAACAGAAUAAGCACCGGCUAACUCCGUGCCAGCCGCCGCGGUAAUAC